GUGCUUGCUGACAGGAGCCUGAUAUAGCUGUCUCCUAAGAGAUUCUGCCAGAGCUGGACCAAUACAGAUAGGAUGCUCACAGCCUGAGUACCAGGACCCCAAUGGAGAAGUUAGGUUUGGGAUUGGUUGAAUCCAUGGAUGUGGGAACAGCAGACGUGGAAGUCUGAAAAGAUAACCUCCAGCAUAUGAAAACCAGCCAACAACUUCAUUUCCCUCUGACCUGGAACCAAAGUGUGUGUGGCAUCUUCAACAGGAUAAUCUUCCUGUCUAAUUCUAAGGAGCAACCAAAAGCUGUGGCUGGAGCUUUGAUUGUUUGUUGGCCUCUGAGAAUCCUAACCAAGGAUGGACAAGAAUAAAUUUUGAGAUCUUCUUCUGCUACUUAGAUGUCAGUCUUAAAUGUCACCUUGAGAAUCAGAGGGAAAAGGCUUUUUGCUUUUGUUCAUUUAUUUUUGAGAUCAGAUAAGACACCAGAAAGAAAAACGGCACAUAUCUUCUAAAGAACCUCAGCCAAGCAAUGGUGCUUUUUACAACGGGCAAGUCUUUCCACCUCAGUUAAAACAACCAAGACCAUCCCCACAGGACGGGCAGAGAACCAUCUCUCACAUCGUGCUCAACUCUGUCAGAGUAGCGGAGGACACGCUCAUAUUACUAGCUGGAUGAGGCAGAAUUUCAAUAAAAAAAGAUUGUCUGUUCUGACAACUUUCACAUUUCAAUAUCAUUUGAAUACAAGGAACAUAGAGGACACUGCACAAUGUGAGCAACCCAGACUCUAAGAAUCCUCUAAGUCUGAUGUUACUCCUCAGAUCCUUGGGAAGCUGGCUCAAAGAUCACCUCAGGGAGAGAAUGUUGCUGACUCAUAUAGAAAAGCCUCCUUUAAAGAAUGCCCUUAAUAAAAUAUAAGCCAACACGUCAAGGCAAUGAGUAAUAGUGGAUUUUCUUCCUGAAAACACAUUAUUUCUGGAGUGCAUCUACAUUUAUAAUAUCAUGUCUCAUUGGUAUAUAGAGUUCCUUGCGAAAUACAAGAAGAUGCACAGGUGUAAGAGCUGAGAUUUAUGUGCAGCUUAUGGUAUGGUCUGAUGCACAGUGCCUUCGGGAAAGGGGCUGCUCUUAUAUCUUCUAAUUUCAGCAUUAAGUUUAUUUCAUAAAGCAUCUUGAAUAAUCCUACAAUUCAGAAGAAAAUAAACAUGCCCUUUGAGGAAA